CUCUCCAAUAUUGGAGAUGCUGUUCCAGAGAUCAUUCGGCUUCUGGACUGGUAGGAGUUUGAGAGGUGUUUCCAAACUAUAAUGACCUGUACCAGAUGAAUGAGAAGGUGUGGUGUGAGGACGGCUUGACCACAGAAUGCUGCAGUUUAAUUCAGUCGUGUCUGGGCUGGGCUGCCGGCCGAUUCGCCGGCUGGGCUGCCGGGCGAGUCGCCGGCUGGGCUGCCGGCCGAGUCGGCAAGAACAAAAAAUGGGUUGGGGUGGGACAAAAAAAAAAACAAAGAAGGGAGUGGGGGUGGGGGAAAACAAGAGUAC